rnacentral:rRNA from 1 species
UUGGAGGGCAAGUCUGGUGCCAGCAGCCGCGGUAAUUCCAGCUCCAAUAGCGUAUAUUAAAGUUGUUGCAGUUAAAAAGCUCGUAGUUGAAUUUCGGGGUUAGUAGGUUGGUCAUGCCACUGGUAUGUACUGGUCUCACUGAUUCCUCCUUCCUGAUGAGCCGUAAUGCCAUUAAUUUGGUGUUGCGAGGAAUCUGGACUGUUACUUUGAAAAAAUUAGAGUGUUUAAAGCAAGCUAUCGCUUGAAUACAUUAGCAUGGAAUAAUGAAAUAGGACGUUCGAUCCUAUUUUGUUGGUUUCUAGGAUUGACGUAAUGAUUAAUAGGGAUAGUUGGGGGCAUUAGUAUUCAAUUGUCAGAGGUGAAAUUCUUGGAUUUAUUGAAGACUAACUACUGCGAAAGCAUUUGCCAAGGAUGUUUGCAUUAAUCAAGAACGAAGGUUAGGGGAUCGAAGACGAUCAGAUACCGUCGUAGUCUUAACCAUAAACUAUGCCGACUAGGGAUCGGGUGAUGUUAUUUUUAAUGACUCAUUCGGCGCCUUACGGGAAACCAAAGUGUUUGGGUUC